rnacentral:lncRNA from 1 species
UUUAAAAAUGUUUUUAUUUAUUUUUGAGACAGAGAGAGACAGAGCAUGGGCAGGGGAGGGGCAGAGAGAGAGGGAGACACAGAAUCUGAAGCAGGCUCCAGGCUCUGAGCUGUCAGCACAGAGCCUGACAUGGGGCUCGAGCUCACGGACUGUAAGAUCAUGACGCGAGCUGAAGUCGGACGCUUAACCGACUAAGCCACCCAGGCGCCCCAAAGGCCCACAUUAUAGCCUCACCAUCCAGAGCAGGCAGGUCACCUUGGCACUCCUAGUCCCCAUCCGGCUCCCAGGCCCGGGAAAAGCAGAGCAGAGACAUGGAGGGGGCCUAGAACCAAAAGCGCAAGGCUCAAGCACCGCUCGAAUGUCCAACCAAACCCCAAGCCUGUGCUGCUCCUUUUAAGGAAGGGCCGCAGAAAGGAGUCUGCCAGACAUGGACUGGCCUAUAGCUGGAGGGAAUGCAGGACUAGGGGUGGAAGAAGAAGAGGCUGUCAGGAAAGGAGCCACAGAAACAAAGAUAAAGCCAGGAGAGCACAGGAGAGUUCCCAGCAGGAGGCGGGGAUGGUGAAGGGGCGGGCCCGGCCACGUUUGAGUAGCUCCAAGCAGGAUGGAACCAGUUCUGCAGAUGCUGCCCACUGUUCCGUGCCUGGGGCUCACCUCCAAGGAGUAGCGCCCAAUCUUCUCACACACAGGAUACUGCUCCCACCCUUCUUCACCAUGGCAAAACCCAGUCAUCGAGACUUGAACAUGAACUCCAUUUUCUCAGAGAACAACAGAAUCUGGCUAGAAUUUCCUUGCAAGUACACCCAAAUGUUAUGAUACAGCAACAUGAAGAGUCUGAAAAGAACAGUAUUGAACUUCCAUUUAUGGAAAAAUUUGUACUGUUUCCAUACAAGUGGAUUGAAUUUAGAAGCACACAGUUCAUGGUCAUCACGUUUUGAUUAUAUGAUUAACUGCUUAUGAAAUCUUUUACAAGUGAAAAUAAGUAUACUGUAUACAGAAUACAUUUCCAAUAUGGAAUGUUAGAAAUCAAUCCUGUUUCUGUUCACAGAAGAUUCCCCAUUUUCUAAAAAAAUUACCCAUAGUGUAACUCAAACAUUAUUUAGCAAAUAAUUUAUGUAGCUCUCACCUCUAUCAGUAAAUAUCGGAUUCUGAUUUCAGGGGAAUUUCUGCCUAGGGAAGGAGUGCAGAAUAGACCCCCGUUAACGCAGCCUUUUACGGAUGACAAAUCUGUACCCUGUGGUUUCCUAAGGCUCAAUUUUUUAACUUGUUUGCUUCACAUGGAAGACAAAGAUACAGGUUUAAAAAUUUCAUGUUUCCAUAAUUUUUAAUAGUUUUCUCCUCACAUUACAAAUAUAGAAAUUGUAAAAGCAUCUGUCAUCUGUCAAAUAGAAUUUGAUGUUCUAUAUUCAAAGACCAGCAUGGAGAGUGGUCACCCUACCCUGCCAUUGGUUAGGCAUGGUAGAGUAUGGGGACAGUACUCAAAAAAAUUUUUCUGUGUUACACGGAGUUAAGAUAAUACAGCAUAUGGAAUUUUUCCUUGAAUAUUAGUCAUUACAUUUUCAAACCUCUGAUUUUCAGCCAAGAUAUAUGCUAAUGAUUAGCACAUUUUUAUCCGUGGGCGACAUUAUCUAUGAUCCACAGAACUAUGUGCACAUCUUAGAGCCUUAGGUUAUAAUUUACAAAGUUUACAUGUACUAACAUGUGGGUAAGCCGAAUUAUUAGCUGAAUCUGAAUUUACGUCCUAUUUAAAACAGGGUUUAAGCCAAGUUCCAGCUUUAUGAAGUGAUAGUUCAAAACUAGUGUUUAAUGAAUCCCC